rnacentral:rRNA from 1 species
GACUAACGCUGGCGGCGUGCUUAACACAUGCAAGUCGAACGGUCUGGCAACUGACUUCGGUUAGAUGUCAGAUAGUGGCGGACGGGGGAGUAACGCGUGGAUAACCUGCCCAUCAGACAGGGAUAAAAACGGGAAACUGGUGCUAAUACCGGAUACGUACGUAAGUGGGUAUCAUUUUUCGUAGAAAGGUGAUGCAAAUCACUGCUGACGGAUGGUUCCGCGUCCCAUUAGCUAGUUGGCAGGGUAAUAGCCUACCAAGGCGACGAUGGGUAGCCGGCCUGAGGGGGUGGCCGACCACACUGGGACUGAGAUACGGCCCAGACUCCUACGGGAGGCAGCAGUGGGGAAUCUUGCGCAAUGCGCGAAAGCGUGACGCAGCAACGCCGCGUGAGGGAAGACGGCCUUCGGGUUGUAAACCUCUUUCAGGAGGGACGAAGGCUCGCCGGUGAAUAGCCGUGCGGGUUGACGGUACCUCCAGAAGAAGCCCCGGCUAACUAC